UACGUAGGUGGCGAGCGUUGUUCGGAUUUAUUGGGCGUAAAGGGUCCGCAGGAGGUUUGUUAAAUUCGAAGUGAAAUCCCGGAGCUCAACUCCGGAACUGCUUUGGAGACUGACGAACUAGAGUGCUGGAGAGGUAAGCGGAAUUCCAGGUGUAGCGGUGGAAUGCGUAGAUAUCUGGAAGAACACCAAAAGCGAAGGCAGCUUACUGGACAGUAACUGACUCUCAGGGACGAAAGCGUGGGGAGCAAACAGGG
rnacentral:rRNA from 1 species